UCUAUGUUUGUACGAUUCGUGCAACUUUUGUUUGGUAUCAUUCCUAGCGUGUGGGUUCUAUUACUUUAUGCUAGCAGUGUGAUUAUUACCCUUUUGAUUCCUAUUACCCUAUGCUUUAUCUUUCAGCUAAGUGUACUCGUGACCCUACCAGCACUUUUCAAGAUACUUUCGACGUAUUCAUUGCGGUGAACAACGCGGUUGGGACAGCACACUCACGACGUGGGAAGGUCACAGAUGUGUUGAAAGACAUCAGAUUGGGCAUACGCUUCACCCGUGCAACUUCGUCAUGUGCUCCACGGCAGCACAAGCCUUUACGGCUGUGCCACUAUGUGUGGAAACGUCGUAGCGGAUGAAUGUGAAUUAUGGAUCUCCAAGUGGCGUCGCCCGCGUCAUUUUCAACAUUUUACCCGUUUUGAAGGUAUGUAGUGAAUGUGCGAGGCAUUCACGUUCCUACUACGUGGUUAUCCAUGCGUUUCCCGUCUUCGCAGGCAAUAGGGCUGUUGAUAGGGAGAAUGCUAGGCUACUGCAGACUGCAACCAUAGGCGCUGUGUCUAAAGGUUAAGCUCACAUGACGCGGCAGGGAAGGGAGUCCGUGGCGAAAAGUGAAUAUAGCCGAAGUUGGAUAGCGGUAAUUUUUGCGCACGA